rnacentral:lncRNA from 1 species
UAUAAGUCACAAAUGAUCCUUUUUUGACGUAGGUGCCGUCGGGCAUCACGUCGUUGUUUCUAGCCUUUUGUGUAUCCAGAGGAACUGCUGGGUAAAGUCUUAAACUCUCAGAUAUUGCAGCGUGAAGGUAAUUCAUCUCUCUCAGUUGUUCGAAAUCGAACAUGCCACUAUUGUUAUAAUCUUGUUUCUUGGCUUUGAUAGAUCUAAUCUCGUCCAGAAUAUUGAGCUCCACGCUAGGAUUGGACAAUAAGAGCCAGAAGAACCAUGUGAGUGUCGAAGAUGUCGUCUGACGACCAGCCAAAAGGAAAUUGACUAUCACGUCUCUCAGGGAUUCCUCCGUGCUAUCUUCUUUCUUAGCAAAGUGGG